rnacentral:rRNA from 1 species
AUACGGAGGAUGCAAGCGUUAUCCGGAUUUAUUGGGUUUAAAGGGUGCGUAGGCGGAUGAUUAAGCGUGAGGUGAAAUGCCACUGCUCAACAGUGGAACUGCCUCGCGAACUGGUUGUCUUGAAUGCUCCUGCCGUGGGAGGAAUGUGUGGUGUAGCGGUGAAAUGCAUAGAGAUCACACAGAACACCGAUUGCGAAGGCAUCUCACGAAGGGGUGAUUGACGCUGAGGCACGAAAGCGUGGGGAUCAAACAGGAUUAGAUACCCUGGUAGUCCACGCGGUAAACGAUGAUGGCUAACCGCUGGUUUAUUCGGAUCAGUGGCCAAGCGAAAGCGAUAAGCCAUCCACCUGGGGAGUACGACCGCAAGGUUGAAACUCAAAGGAAUUGACGGGG